AUUGAACGCUGGCGGCAGGCCUAACACAUGCAAGUCGAGCGGAUGAAGGGAGCUUGCUCCUGGAUUCAGCGGCGGACGGGUGAGUAAUGCCUAGGAAUCUGCCUGGUAGUGGGGGAUAACGUCCGGAAACGGGCGCUAAUACCGCAUACGUCCUGAGGGAGAAAGUGGGGGAUCUUCGGACCUCACGCUAUCAGAUGAGCCUAGGUCGGAUUAGCUAGUUGGUGGGGUAAAGGCCUACCAAGGCGACGAUCCGUAACUGGUCUGAGAGGAUGAUCAGUCACACUGGAACGGAGACACGGUCCAGACUCCUACGGGAGGCAGCAGUGGGGAAUAUUGGACAAUGGGCGAAAGCCUGAUCCAGCCAUGCCGCGUGUGUGAAGAAGGUCUUCGGAUUGUAAAGCACUUUAAGUUGGGAGGAAGGGCAGUAAGUUAAUACCUUGCUGUUUUGACGUUACCAAAAGAAUAAGCACCGGCUAACUUCGUG
rnacentral:rRNA from 1 species